rnacentral:rRNA from 1 species
UACAGGGGGUGCAAACGUUGCUCGGAAUUAUUGGGCGUAAAGCGCGCGUAGGCGGCCACUUAAGUCGGAUGUGAAAGCCCCUGGCUCAACUGGGGAAGUGCACCCGAAACUGAAUGGCUUGAGUGCGAAAGAGGGUCGCGGAAUUCCCGGUGUAGAGGUGAAAUUCGUAGAUAUCGGGAGGAACACCGGGGGCGAAGGCGGCGACCUGGGUCGACACUGACGCUGAGGCGCGAAAGCGUGGGGAGCAAACCGG